rfam:Hymenolepis microstoma genomic scaffold, pathogens_HYM_contig_0267
GCUAAUUACCACGAUUGUGAAGUGCGAUUUGAUAAUCUGAAGUAACAAUCGGACUGGAAGUUUGACUGCUACUGUACAUCUGUCAAAUCAUAACGCAGGUGUUCCAAGGCGGACUCAGACUGGACAGAAAUCCAGCGUAGAGAAAAAAGCAAAAUCUCACUUGAGUUCGGCCCUAAUUCAGUAUGUAUGCAGAACAUAAGCGCGGCCUAUAGAUACUUAUGAUGUUAAGAUAUUCAAAGUCUGGAGCACAGCUUGUGUCGGCCGAUAUUUCAUAGCGACGUCGUUUUUUGAUUCUUUGAUGCCAGUCCCUAUUCCGAUUUUUUUGAAGCAGAAUUCACCAAAGGCGGAUUGUUCACCCAUUAAUAAGGAACGCACACUGGAUUUAGACCGUUGUGAGACAGGCUA